rnacentral:rRNA from 1 species
CAGUAGCCGCGGUAAUACGAGGGGGGCAAGCGUUGUCCGGAAUUACUGGGCGUAAAGGGCUCGUAGGUGGUUUGUCGCGUCGUCUGUGAAAUUCUGGGGCUUAACUCCGGGCGUGCAGGCGAUACGGGCAUAACUUGAGUGCUGUAGGGGUAACUGGAAUUCCUGGUGUAGCGGUGAAAUGCGCAGAUAUCAGGAGGAACACCGAUGGCGAAGGCAGGUUACUGGGCAGUUACUGACGCUGAGGAGCGAAAGCAUGGGUAGCGAACAGGAUUAGAUACCCCUGUAGUCCCUGUCUCUUAUA